rnacentral:rRNA from 1 species
UACGUAGGGUGCGAGCGUUGUCCGGAAUUAUUGGGCGUAAAGAGCUCGUAGGCGGUUUGUUGCGUCUAUCGUGAAAACCUGCAGCUUAACUGUGGGCUUGCGGUGGAUACGGGCAGACUUGAGUUCGGUAGGGGAGACUGGAAUUCCUGGUGUAGCGGUGAAAUGCGCAGAUAUCAGGAGGAACACCGGUGGCGAAGGCGGAUCUCUGGGCCUUACCUGACGCUCAGGCGCGAAAGCUAGGGGAGCGAACAGG